AUACGGAGGAUCCGAGCGUUAUCCGGAUUUAUUGGGUUUAAAGGGUGCGCAGGCGGCCAUUUAAGUCAGCGGUUAAAUCGUGGGGCUCAACCCCAUUCUGCCGUUGAUACUGGGUGGCUUGAUUGCGGUCGAGGUUGGCGGAAUUCGUUGUGUAGCGGUGAAAUGCAUAGAUAUGACGAAGAACACCGAUUGCGUAGGCAGCUGACCAGACCGCAAAUGACGCUCAUGCACGAAAGUGCGGGGAUCGAACAGGAUUAGAUACCCUGGUAGUCCGCACAGUAAACGAUGAAUACUUGUUUUCGGCGAUAUAAUGUCGGAGGCAAAGCGAAAGCGAUAAGUAUUCCACCUGGGGAGUACGCCGGCAACGGUGAAACUCAAAUGAAUUGACGGGGG
rnacentral:rRNA from 1 species